rnacentral:rRNA from 1 species
UACGUAGGGGGCAAGCGUUGUCCGGAAUCAUUGGGCGUAAAGCGCGUGUAGGCGGCCCGAUAAGUCCGCUGUGAAAGUCCAGGGCUCAACCCUGGGAUGCCGGUGGAUACUGUCGGGCUCGAGUCCGGAAGAGGCGAGUGGAAUUCCUGGUGUAGCGGUGAAAUGCGCAGAUAUCAGGAAGAACACCAAUGGCGAAGGCAGCUCUCUGGGACGGUACUGACGCUGAGACGCGAAAGCGUGGGGAGCGAACAGG